GACGCCUCAAGAAGCCAACGGUUUGGAACAAAAGCCGCUCGGCGCGUUAAAGCCUCUGUUCGCCACAGGAGGAGCACACAUGGCAACCGGUACGGUAAAGUGGUUCAACGAGACGAAGGGCUAUGGCUUCAUCCAGCCCGACAACGGCGGCAAGGACGUGUUCGUGCACAUCUCGGCGGUCGAGCGCGCCGGCCUGCGCGAUCUCGCUGAAGGGCAGAAGGUGACCUACGAGGUCGAGAUCGACCGGAAGAGCGGCAAAGAGUCGGCCGGACAGCUCCAGGUUGCCUGAUCGUCGGGCGCCUUAGGGUCGCCAAUAAGGAAAGCGGUGGGCUGGCUUAGCGUCAGCCUACCGGCC
rnacentral:misc_RNA from 1 species